AGUAACAUAAGCUAAUAAAGCUAUUGAGUUCAUACCUCAACAAUACAUUCUAAUGUUGUUAUUA
rnacentral:tRNA from 1 species